rnacentral:rRNA from 2 species
UGCCCAGCAGCCGCGGUAAUACGUAGGUUGGCAAGCGUUGUCCGGAUUUAUUGGGCGUAAAGCGAGCGCAGGCGGUUUCUUAAGUCUGAUGUGAAAGCCUUCGGCUCAACCGAAGAAGUGCAUCGGAAACUGGGAAACUUGAGUGCAGAAGAGGACAGUGGAACUCCAUGUGUAGCGGUGAAAUGCGUAGAUAUAUGGAAGAACACCAGUGGCGAAGGCGGCUGUCUGGUCUGUAACUGACGCUGAGGCUCGAAAGCAUGGGUAGCAAACAGGAUUAGAUACCCUGGUAGUCCAUGCCGUAAACGAUGAGUGCUAGGUGUUGGAGGGUUUCCGCCCUUCAGUGCCGCAGCUAACGCAUUAAGCACUCCGCCUGGGGAGUACGACCGCAAGGUUGAAACUCAAAGGAAUUGACGGGGGCCCGCACAAGCGGUGGAGCAUGUGGUUUAAUUCGAAGCAACGCGAAGAACCUUACCAGGUCUUGACAUCCUUUGACCACUCUAGAGAUAGAGCUUUCCCUUCGGGGACAAAGUGACAGGUGGUGCAUGGUUGUCGUCAGCUCGUGUCGUGAGAUGUUGGGUUAAGUCCCGCAACGAGCGCAACCCUUAUUACUAGUUGCCAGCAUUUAGUUGGGCACUCUAGUGAGACUGCCGGUGACAAACCGGAGGAAGGUGGGGACGACGUCAAAUCAUCAUGCCCCUUAUGACCUGGGCUACACACGUGCUACAAUGGAUGGUACAACGAGUCGCGAGACCGCGAGGUUUAGCUAAUCUCUUAAAACCAUUCUCAGUUCGGAUUGUAGGCUGCAACUCGCCUACAUGAAGCCGGAAUCGCUAGUAAUCGCGGAUCAGCAUGCCGCGGUGAAUACGUUCCCGGGCCUUGUACACACCGCCCGUCACACCAUGAGAGUUUGUAACACCCAAAGCCGGUGA